UCUAAAUCCCCCCCUGAUGCGCACCGGUCAGUAAUAUCUGUGAGCCAUGACCCACCCUCCUCUGCCUCUAAUUGGCUGGUACUCGCUGCUUUCACUGAUGAGAUUGGUUAACUUUAGGCAUGAGGACUGAUGAGCCAAUCAGAGGCAGAGUAGGGCGGGUGCCGCAGGUCAUGCCGAGGAAAAUAUCGCUACUACCUCAGGUGCCAGUGAAAAAAAAAAAAAACUUGACUACGAUAACGGCAGCAGACCAAACAACAGAUGAAGAAACAACACAAGCGGCGGUGUGCCACCCCAGUUGAUGGAAGACAUAAUUCUGAGACAUCAAUAAUGACUGGCCAGACCUGUGGAGUGCUAAACAAACAGAAGACUUCAAAUCCAAGAACCCAUGGUUGGGAUCCAAAAACAAAAAAUUGGGAUGUCUGGUCUGUAGCAGUGUGAACUCCAUUGGGAUCGACAAGGAGCAAGGUGUAUCGCUCUCAAGAGAAUGGAUGAACUUUGAAAUUCAAGUGUCUGGCCAGG